rnacentral:rRNA from 1 species
AUUUUCCGGUUGAUCCCGCCGGAGGUUACUGCUAUCGGUGUUCGACUAAGCCAUGCAAGUCAUAUGUUCUUCGUGAACAUGGCAUACUGCUCAGUAACACGUGGAUAACCUGCCCUUGGGUCUGGGAUAACCCCGGGAAACUGGGGAUAAUACCGGAUAACGCAUAUGUGCUGGAAUGCUUUAUGCGUAAAACGGAUUCGUCCGCCCAAGGAUGGGUCUGCGGCCUAUCAGGUAGUAGUGGGUGUAAUGUACCUACUAGCCAACAACGGGUACGGGUUGUGAGAGCAAGAGCCCGGAGAUGGAUUCUGAGACAUGAAUCCAGGCCCUACGGGGCGCAGCAGGCGCGAAAACUUUACAAUGCGGGAAACCGUGAUAAGGGAACACCGAGUGCCAGCAUCAUAUGCUGGCUGUCCAGAUGUGUAAAGUACAUCUGUUAGCAAGGGCCGGGCAAGACCGGUGCCAGCCGCCGCGGUAACACCGGCGGCCCGAGUGGUGACCGUUAUUAUUGGGUCUAAAGGGUCCGUAGCCGGUUUGGUCAGUCCUCCGGGAAAUCUGAUAGCUUAACUGUUAGGCUUUCGGGGGAUACUGCCAGGCUUGGAACCGGGAGAGGUAAGAGGUACUACAGGGGUAGGAGUGAAAUCUUGUAAUCCCUGUGAGACCACCUGUGGCGAAGGCGUCUUACCAGAACGGGUUCGACGGUGAGGGACGAAAGCUGGGGGCACGAACCGGAUUAGAUACCCGGGUAGUCCCAGCCGUAAACUAUGCUCGCUAGGUGUCAGGCAUGGCGCGACCGUGUCUGGUGCCGCAGGGAAGCCGUGAAGCGAGCCACCUGGGAAGUACGGCCGCAAGGCUGAAACUUAAAGGAAUUGGCGGGGGAGCACAACAACGGGUGGAGCCUGCGGUUUAAUUGGAUUCAACGCCGGAAAU